GCUAGGUACGGUCGGAAAUCGUGCUGAUAGUGCAAUGGCAAAAGCGUGCUUGACUGCGAGACCUACAAGUCGAGCAGAUGCGAAAGCAGGUCAUAGUGAUCCGGUGGCUCUGUAUGGAAGGGCCAUCGCUCAACGGAUAAAAGGUACUCUGGGGAUAACAGGCUGAUACCGCCCAAGAGUUCAUAUCGACGGCGGUGUUUGGCACCUCGAUGUCGGCUCAUCUCAUCCUGGGGCUGUAGUCGGUCCCAAGGGUAUGGCUGUUCGCCAUUUAAAGAGGUACGUGAGCUGGGUUUAAAACGUCGUGAGACAGUUUGGUCCCUAUCUGCCGUGGGCGUUGGAAGAUUGACGGGGGCUGCUCCUAGUACGAGAGGACCGGAGUGGACGGACCGCUGGUGUACCGGUUGUGAUGCCAAUCGCAUUGCCGGGUAGCUAUGUCCGGAAGGGAUAACCGCUGAAAGCAUCUAAGCGGGAAACCUGCCUGAAGAUAAGUCUUCCCGGAGGCUAGACCUCCUUGAAGAGUCGUUCGAGACCAGGACGUUGAUAGGUCAGAUGUGGAAGCGUUGUGAGACGUUAAGCUAACUGAUACUAAUUGCUCGUAAGGCUUGAUCCU
rnacentral:rRNA from 1 species